GACGAACGCUGGCGGCGUGCUUAACACAUGCAAGUCGAACGGAAAGGCCCUGCUUUUGUGGGGUGCUCGAGUGGCGAACGGGUGAGUAACACGUGAGUAACCUGCCCUUGACUUUGGGAUAACUUCAGGAAACUGGGGCUAAUACCGGAUAGGAGCUCCUGCUGCAUGGUGGGGGUUGGAAAGUUUCGGCGGUUGGGGAUGGACUCGCGGGUUAUCAGCUUGUUGGUGGGGUAGUGGCUUACCAAGGCUUUGACGGGUAGCCGGCCUGAGAGGGUGACCGGCCACAUUGAGACUGAGAUACGGCCCAGACUCCUACGGGAGGCAGCAGUGGAGAAUAUUGCACAAUGGGCGGAAGCCUGAUGCAGCAACGCCGCGUGCGGGAUGACGGCCUUCGGGUUGUAAACCGCUUUCGCCGGUGACGAAGCGUGAGUGACGGUAAUGGGUAAAGAAGCACCGGCUAACUACGUG
rnacentral:rRNA from 1 species